CCGUUCAGCUUGAUCCUGGCUCAGGAUGAACGCUAGCGGCGCGCUUAACGCAUGCAAGUCGAGCGAUGAGGCUCCCUUCGGGGAGUACAUCAGCGGCAGACGGGUGAGUAACACGUAGAUAACCUGCCCUCAAGACGGGGACAACCGGUGGAAACAGCGGCUAAUACCCGAUAUGCUCACAGGAUCGGGAGAUUGAGUGAGGAAAGGCUUCGGUGCUUGAGGAGGGAUCUGCGGCCCAUCAGCUAGUUGGUGAGGUAACGGCUCACCAAGGCGAAGACGGGUAGGGGGUGUGAGAGCAUGGCCCCCCACAAUGGGACUGAGACACGGCCCAUACUCCUACGGGAGGCAGCAGCGGGGAAUAUUGCGCAAUGGACGGAAGUCAGAUGCAGCGACGCCGCGUGGGUGAGGAAGGCCUUCGGGUUGUAAAGCCCUUUUCAGGGGAGCGAGAAAGGACGGUACCCUUGGAAUAAGCGUCGGCUAACUACGUGCCAGCAGCCGCGGUAAGACGUAGGACGCAAGCGUUAUCCGGAUUUACUGGGCGUAAAGCGCCUGUAGGCGGUCAAGUAAGUCGGAUGUGAAAGCCCCGUGCUCAACGCGGGGAAGCCAUUCGAUACUGCGUGACUAGAGAACGGCAGAGGGAAACGGAAUUUCUGGUGUAGCGGUAAAAUGCGCAGAGAUCAGAAAGAACACCGAUGGCGAAGGCAGUUUCCUAGGCCGCAUCUGACGCUGAGAGGCGAAAGCUAGGGGAGCAAACAGGAUUAGA
rnacentral:rRNA from 1 species